CCUGGGGGGGCGGCGGUCCCGGUGUCGGUCCCGGUGUCGGUCCCGGUGUUGCCGCGGGUCCGGGGAGGCUCCUCUUUCCCAGAGGAAUGGGCCACCAGCGCCUCCGCCUGCCUUCCUGUCCUCGUGGAGGUGCGGGGAAGUGCGUGGUCCCAGCCCUCCGUGCGAUCGGUUUGAGUAGUAAAUGCGAAAAUUGGCGGUUUCUGGUUGAGCUCCCGAAUUUAUGUUCCCACAGUGUUUCUCCAUGCUGCUUAGGAGCCAGUUAUUCAGAAUUAAUUCUCAUGUCAGCAGACAGCUCGACCGUCACGGUUCGUCUCGUCCGCUCCUUCGAGCACCGCAAUUUCCGACCCCUGGUGUACCACGGAGUUCCCCUGGAUCAGACAGUGAAGGAGUUCAUGGCUUUUGUGCGCAGGGAUGUGUCUUCAAGAUCAGGACUUCCUCCUCCUUUUAAAAAUUACAAGUAUGAUACAAUGAAGAUUAUUCACCAAGCACACAAAUCUAAGACUGGUGAGCUUGUAGUGAGUUUGGAAGAUGAUGACAAACUGAUUUUGCAGGAAGACAGCACGCUGAAAGCAGCUGGAGUAGGCAUAAAAGGCAGUGCAGUUCAGGAGAGGAACUGAUGACAGUGCCAAAUGUUGAAUUAGAAAUAACAAAGCUGUCUUCUUUUAAAAAGCAAAUGAGACGGAAUUAGCAUUCUUCUGUGAGGAAGAUUACAGAAACUACAGAGCUAAUCCUGUUUCGGCCUGGUGAAGAUCCCAAGAGAUUGUUUUGUUUUCCCAUACCUGUUGUAAAUUUUCCUUAUUCUGCUUAAUGAGAUUUUUCUUAAAGAUCAAUAAAUCCUAGAGGAUUUCUUUGCAAACAGUGCAAUUCCCUUCCUAUAGAAAUUAAUUUCUGUCAGUAUGCUAAGGCUGAGAGAAGAAAAACUGGGGGACAUAAGUGACUUUUUUCUUCCUUUUCUUUUUGCUGUGCUUGGCUCUUGAGCCUCAGGCAGUGCCAUCCCUGACCCGUGACACACGUUCUUGGUGUGAUCCCACAGCAGGCAGUAACUGCACAUGGAAAUUAGAGAAUGCACAGGAUGAUCCCAUCACAGUACCAACUUCUAAUGAAAAUGAAGUGAAACCUCCUUCAAAUAAAAUGAAAUAUUUUAUGACCAAAUCACUGGGUAUUUUAAAGAACUUGAGAAGAGAAUAUCUUUAUUUCUAGUCACAGCUUUACUUCUCUCAUUUUAUAUUUGGUCUCUUUUGUUUAAAUAGUGCAGACUGGCCAGUGUUUCAUGCUUUUCAGUGGUGAAUGCUUUCCAUUAUGCUCUCUUCCAGCCCUCUUUAGCAUGCUGAAAGGGACAAAUGGCUCUUGGGAGGCUUUUGUGUCCACAGACCAGCUCGCCUGUUUCUAGCUUUACUUCAUGGAGACCUUCACAUGGGGGUAGCAGCUCGGGUUCUGCCAGGACAUCAGCCUGCCUAAGGAGGAGUUGGGCAUUUUUCCAAGUGGAGUGAAAGCUCAUGGUUUCAGUUUUAAGAAUAAAACCUGAAUGAUUGCAUUUUUUGUGAGGAGAGGCCCAGCCUGUGAGCCACAUGUCUUUGAGGCUGGAAUUGAUUCCUUUAUGCUCUCCAUGAGGCAAAUACUCUGUUGCUAUGUGUUUGUUCUUGGUAAUGCUGGGUUUUCCUACUACAUAGGCCAAAUUAAGAAUAAUAGAAAAUAAUCACGCAUCCAAUAAAGUAGUUUUAGGUAGACAUCACUCAUGAAAUGCUUUUUAGGGGGUACCCACAUGGGACACUGUGCCUGUAAGCCUCCCUUCACUGCAAUAGGAAUGAUGCUGGCUCUCUGCCUUAGCAGGCUUUUUGGGCACAGCCUCUGCUAAAUUGAAUGAGAUCUCACUUGCAAUUGCUUUAGACCUACACAUCUAUGCUGAGCUCUGGGUGGGAGCUGACAAUGCUAUAUCAUGAGACUUUCUGGAGGAGUAACCCUACCAUUUCCUAGAGCUUUGAUUAUUGUUUUUAUUGACAUGUGUGCUUUCCAGAAUAGCUAAGUAAAAUUUCCCUUUAUUUUAGAUGUAGGGCCAAAGAACCCUCUGUUUAUUGUUCCCACCUCAUUUUCUUCAUCUUUCCUUACAACUCUCUGGUUUAGGCUGUUUGACUCACCAACAGCUUUGCUUCAGAAUUUUAUUCUCUAGUGAAAUACCUCUACCACUUCCUCAGCUGUGAUUAAAUUACUGUAUUAUUGUCUUGUAAGGAGAAGUCAUGUGUCACUGAAGACAUCUAUGUUCUGGGAUGCCAUUAUGCAUGCCCUGAUGAAUUUAUGAGGAGAAUUUACCUCUUGCCUUCUCUUUCUGUCCAGGCAGCCUCUCUAUUGCUGGUACCUGCUCCCCAAACAUGGGCCCACGUUCACCCUUCUUACAGUCUCAUGUUGGCAGAUUUAUGUGGCUAAUACAAAUUUUUGCUCAUCUUAUCAGACAGUUCAAGCUGAUGCAUUGCACUCCAGGCUAUCUCAUCUUUGUUCAGCCAAAUUUACAAUAAGAAAGGUAACUUUAUGAGAACAGAUAUUGUACCAGAGACAUCAGUGUCUCAGGCUGGCCUGCCAAGGCAUCUAAAUGGUGUCCAUCAGCACAUGCAGACUCUCAGACUGAGCAUGACUGAAUUUGGUCUCCAGCCCUUCCAGACAGAUUUGGAUUAGUUUUGUGAUCCCUUUUUUCUAAAGCAUUUGUGUUUGAAAGAGUCACCACAUUUUAACAAUUGUCCUUUCUGGGCUUGUACAGUUCCAAACUUGCAGUGUCACAUCAAGUGUGGUACAGUGGAAGAGCAAUUCUACAGCAUCAGGGAGAAAAACUCUAAAUGUUCUACUGCAAAUAUUCAAGAAUGAUGUGACUGGCACUCCAGAUUAACUUCUCUUUCCAAGGGAAGAGUUAAACUACUGCUUUGUGAGCUCAGUUUGUUCUGGCAAUGGCACUUCAUUGGCUUCUUUCUCCAGCAGCACAGUGGAGCCUUUUGUAAUGCUCUCAAUGGCCAUACUUGUAAACUGGUUUCUUCCUGAAGUGUUUUUCUACUGUGGGGUUUUUUUUUUUAAAUUAUUUAUUUUAUUUAAAAUUUUUUUUUGUGACUUUCAGUAAUGCUUCUUUCAAGUAAACCCCACAAACCCACAGAUAAUAACUGAAAACUUGUUAGGAAAGAUGCUGUUCCAGCAUAUUUUUGGUGGGAUAUGGUACAGCCUUGUAUCAAAGUAUGUUUGGUUCCAGGGUUGUUGAGUACUGAACGAAAUCUCUGAAUGCUGGCUAAUAAAACAGUAAAGACUGAGAUGUCUUUGCCCAUGUUGUUUUGAAAUCCUCUUUCUGUUGAAGGAAAUCACAGAGUUAGUACUGUGGUUUGUUAUCCUGGCAGAAAUCACAAACUGCAAUGGUGUACAGCUGCUUUUAAACUAAGGUGUAGUGGGGUUAGUCAUACUGCUUUGCCAGUGGUCUUAGGCAUUGUGGGGUUAAUAAAGAUUUGUGUUACAGUGGCAUGUUCUUGGAACCACUCACUAUUUUUUUUAAUUAAACAAAAGAACAAUAUCCAGAGAGGACUCUGAAAUAAAAUGAAAUUUAUCCUGGGUUAUAACACUGUAGCAGGGAAAGGUAGUCAAACUGGAACCCUGGGAUGGUGUGUCAGGCUUGGCUGUUUCUUGGAGAAAAAAAAAUCAUUUCAGAGAGACUGGAGUUUUGAUUAGGAGGUGUGAAAGCUGAAGAAGAAGAAGAGAGGAAAUUUGGAAAGGAAUUAUCAUAACUAGGAAGAAGAAGUAAUAUUGUAACUGAAUAAACAGCAAAAUCUGCAUGUGCAACAGUCUUGAUGCAGAGAUACCAGAGCAAUGCUGCUUUCUGUACAACUAAAGGUAUAAAAAUGCUGUUUUUUCAUAAUUUUGGAACUGAAUUAAUGAACUACUCCAAUAAACAUCUUUUUUUUUUCCUGGC